UUAAGGGCAAACGAUCUGGUCAUGUUUCCAAAGUGAUCCUGAUAUUUUGAUUGUUCAAUAAUCCUGUUUUCAACUCUUUCUCCAGUUUCCAGUGUUUGGGUGGACAGACAAUUUAGAAGAUGCUGCGUCACUCGACAUUUCUCCCCAGGCUUGGAGGAGGAUUGAGGAAACCUACAAGUCCAUAAGAACUUGUCUACCAGCAUUCAGAUCUCAGGAGUAUGGCUGAGUGCAAAGCUGCAUUCAUGGAGACAAAAGUUCUUACCCUACAGGCAUCCCAGGGAAUCUAAAGUGUCAUUUCCUCUCUGGAAGAAAGGAAGCACAAAACAUGCUAGGCUUCACUGACUUCAGUCAAUCAAUAGUGAACUAAGAUUUGGAACCUUAUCUUCUGAUCUGAUAAUUUUUCAUUUGAUGAGGAAAGGUAUUAAGG